rnacentral:rRNA from 1 species
UUAAUUGAAGAGUUUGAUCAUGGCUCAGAUUGAACGCGGGCGGCAGGCUUAACACAUGCAAGUCGAGCGGUAGCACAAGAGAGCUUGCUCGCGUGUGUACGAGCGCAGUACGGGUGAGUAAUUGCUGGGAAACUGCCUGAUGGAGGGGGAUAACUACUGGAAACGGUAGCUAAUACCGCAUAACGUCGCAAGACCAAAGAGGGGG